rnacentral:rRNA from 1 species
GUGGGGAAUAUUGGGCAAUGGGCGCAAGCCUGACCCAGCAACGCCGCGUGAGGGAAGAAGGCUUUCGGGUUGUAAACCUCUGUCCUUGGUGACGAAACAAAUGACGGUAGCCAAGGAGGAAGCCCCGGCUAACUACGUGCCAGCAGCCGCGGUAAUACGUAGGGGGCGAGCGUUGUCCGGAAUUACUGGGCGUAAAGGGUGCGUAGGUGGCCUUGUAAGUUGGAUGUGAAAUACCCGGGCUUAACUUGGGGGGUGCAUCCAAAACUGGGAGGCUAGAGUGCAGGAGAGGAAAGCGGAAUUCCUAGUGUAGCGGUGAAAUGCGUAGAUAUUAGGAGGAACACCAGUGGCGAAGGCGGAUUGCUGGACAGUAACUGACGCUGAGGCGCGAAAGCGUGGGGAGCAAACAGGAUUAGAUACCCGGGUAGUCC